AAUAGAGAGAGAGAGAGAGAGAGAGAGAGAGAGUAGAGCUACUAUUCUUAUGAGUAUUGGGUCCUUCAUACUCAUAAGUUGUUUUUGAUGAUGGGGCUUCCGAAUCGACGAUCCACUCCGUUAAAUAUGAUCUAGAGUAUUUGAAACUUCUAAAAAAUAAAUUUCGUAAUUUUUCAAAAUUAUAAUAAAGUCCAUCAAACGAGUUUAAAAUGAACAGUCAAAAUCGAACGAUGUUCUAAAAAUGGAUGAUCGAAUCCUUCAAUUUAAUAUCGGAGUUAUUGAUCUUUAUCUAGGUAGUGAAUAGAAUUUUCUAUCAAAAAUGCAACCUAUUCUGAUUCUUUUAUACCGUUAAAUUAGCAAGUAUCUCAUACCGGUCGUUAAAAAUUGUUAAUUUUGUGAGCUUUUGAUCGUAAAGCAAAUGAUGUCGAAAAAUUUUUAUAAGUCCGGCUAUUUAUGAAUAUAAAAAUUUUUAUACUUAUAAGUUUUUAACCGUUAAAUUUACUUUUUAAUCAUUUUCACUCGUUAGAUCAAAUUAUUCAACCAAUCAUUCAUUCAACUCUAGAAGAUCACUAUCAUUCUAACCAAAUUCACUAUCAUCCUAGCUGCACGUUUUUUUAUUUAAUAAUUAAAAAUUUAUGAAUAUAAAGAGAUCUUAUACACGUAAGAGUAUAAUAAUUUUAGCCUAUGUAUACAUUAUUAAAUCGUAAAGUAGGUGGUUAA
rnacentral:lncRNA from 1 species